rnacentral:piRNA from 1 species
GUCAUGUGCCUUGGAUCAAGUAUUGGCUGA